UAGAGUUUGAUCAUGGCUCAGAACGAACGCUGGCGGCGUGCUUAACACAUGCAAGUCGAACGUGAAUCAUCCUUCGGGGUGAGGAAAGUGGCGCACGGGUGAGUAACACGUGGAUAAUCUACCCAAUGAUCCGGGAUAACACUUCGAAAGGGGUGCUAAUACCUGAUAAGCCCACGAGCUCUUCGGAGCUUGCGGGAAAAGGUGGGGAACCUUCGGGUCCUGCCGUCAAUGGAUGAGUCCGCGGCCCAUUAGCUAGUUGGUGGGGUAAUGGCCUACCAAGGCUACGACGGGUAGCUGGUCUGAGAGGAUGAUCAGCCACAAUGGGACUGAGACACGGCCCAUACACCUACGGGUGGCAGCAGUUGGGAAUAUUGCACAAUGGACGACAGUCUGAUGCAGCGACGCCGCGUGA
rnacentral:rRNA from 1 species